UGGCUAGAGCGCUUGCAUGGCAUGCACGAGGUCGUCGGUUCGACUCCGACAUGGUCCA
rnacentral:tRNA from 1 species